UGAGGAAUAUUGGGCAAUGCCCGCAAGGGUGACCCAGCAACGCCGCGUGGAGGAUGAAUGUCGUAGGAUUGUAAACUCCUGUUAGAGGGGAAGAAUAGUACCGGUUGGACCGGUAUAUGACUGUACCCUCAGAGAAAGCCCCGGCUAACUACGUGCCAGCAGCCGCGGUAAUACGUAGGGGGCAAGCGUUGUCCGGAUUUACUGGGUGUAAAGGGCGCGCAGGCGGGAUAAAAAGUCAGUGGUGAAAUCCUACAGCUUAACUGUAGAACUGCCUUUGAUACUUUUAUUCUUGAGUUCGGGAGAGAGAGACGGAAUUCCAGGUGUAGUGGUGAAAUACGUAGAUAUCUGGAAGAACACCAGUUGCGAAGGCGGUCUCUUGGUCCGACACUGACGCUGAGGCGCGAAAGCGUGGGGAGCAAAC
rnacentral:rRNA from 1 species